CGCCUGUCGGGUAAGAGGAAGCUCGACCGCCCCUUCAAACGAUGAUCUCGUUCAUUGACGAACACCGAUGGGGUGUUCGGGGUCGAGCCGAUCUGCAGGCUUUUGCCGAUUGCCCCA
rfam:Beta vulgaris subsp. vulgaris contig148165.1, whole genome shotgun sequence.